AGCCACCCGAGCCUCUUCCCUUUUCUUCCUCUCUCGCUCAAACCGCCGCAAAUGCCACCUCCUCUCCUUCGAUCACCGGAGCUGGAUCUGCCGCCAAGCUCCCGGAGUUGCCCUCCCUUGCACGGGCUGCCUUCGGCCAAGAGCAGGAGGUGUCGUCCUCUCAUGUGCGGCACAGUCUUGCGUGACCUAGCAUCGUCGAAGCCGCCAACCAUCAGAAGCUGUUGCCGGCGUAGACGCACACCGAGCGUCGAACCUACCUCUUCGCCGACGCCUCUCACUUCUCCGAUGCCACAAUACCGAGUUCGCCGGUACUGAUCUUCUCACCGUUGGCCGGACUUGCCAUCUCCACGGAUCGCCGGACGUUUGCUACGGUUGUCCUUCUCUCUGAGUUGCAGACCGUGCCUGGCCAUCCUCACCGCCAGAUCGCCGAUUCUCUGUCGCCUCGAAGGACACCCGAUGCCGCCGUCGUUUUCCCUCUCCGGCCACGAGCAGGAGGCAGUGGGGUUGUGUUUGUGAGUCGAUUUCCCUUCUCCCAUACCACGUGAUGCCAUCACCAACGCUGUGCCCCUUGGUUGUGCCCUACCCUAGGCCAGCAACACGCUGCUAUUCAUUACCACCUUUGCUCAUGAUCACAGCAGUAGCAUUCAUCCGAGAGGAGUUUACGGAAUUGGAUUGAUUCUUGAAGGCAGUGGCUUCGCUUGGCUUCGCUCUUCACAUCGCUUAUGGUUUGUGGCUGACUCCGUCUGAUCUGUGUCAAUUUCUGGCUGCUGAAGAAGAAGAGGGCGUUAGUUUGGGACGUCCGUCUCAACAAGGGAUUGUUUAGCUCGAUCUACAUUUAAGGCGGGUACUUCUUGCUUUAUCUCUUUAGUAUUUUGAUCCUAGUGCAUGAGCUUUAUGUUCAGA